ACCCGGCUGGCUCAGUUGGAAGAGCGUGGGACUCUUGAUCCCAGGGCGUUGCGUUCAAGCCCCAUGGUGGGUG
rnacentral:tRNA from 1 species